CCUACGGGUGGCAGCAGUGAGGAAUAUUGGUCAAUGGACGGGAGCCUGAACCAGCCAAGUCGCGUGAAGGAUGACGGCCCUAUGGGUUGUAAACCUCUUUUGCCGGGGGGCAAAGUGCCGCACGUGUGCGGUUUUGAGAGUACCCGGCGAAAAAGCAUCGGCUAACUCCGUGCCAGCAGCCGCGGUAAUACGGAGGAUGCGAGCGUUAUCCGGAUUUAUUGGGUUUAAAGGGUGCGUAGGCGGACGAUUAAGUCAGCGGUAAAAUUGCGGGGCUCAACCUCGUAGAGCCGUUGAAACUGGGUGACUUGAGAGGGCGAGAAGUACGCGGAAUGUGUGGUGUAGCGGUGAAAUGCAUAGAGAUCACGCAGAACACCGAUUGCGAAGGCAGCGUACCG
rnacentral:rRNA from 1 species